UCUCCGUAGGUGAACCUGCGGAGGGAUCAUUACAGAGUUCUCGCCCUCGCGGGUAGAUCUCCACCCACUGUUAUCGUUACUGUGUUGCUUUGGCGGGCCGCCGGGCCCCGCUCGGCCGCCGGCUCCGGCGGGCGCGCGCCCGCCAGAGGCCCAGCAAACUCUGAAUGUUAGUGUCGUCUGAGUACUAUAUAAUAGUUAAAACUUUCAACAACGGAUCUCUUGGUUCUG
rnacentral:misc_RNA from 1 species